UAAGCGGAGGAAAAGAAACUAACAAGGAUUCCCCUAGUAACUGCGAGUGAAGCGGGAAAAGCUCAAAUUUAAAAUCUGGCGGUUUCACCGUCCGAGUUGUAAUUUAGAGAAGCGUCUUCCGCGCUGGACCGUGCACAAGUCUCCUGGAAUGGAGCGUCAUAGAGGGUGAGAAUCCCGUCUUUGGCAUGGAAUCCCAGGGCUUCUGUGAUGCGCUCUCGACGAGUCGAGUUGUUUGGGAAUGCAGCUCAAAAUGGGUGGUGAACUCCAUCUAAAGCUAAAUAUUGGCGAGAGACCGAUAGCGAACAAGUACCGUGAGGGAAAGAUGAAAAGCACUUUGGAAAGAGAGUGAAACAGUACGUGAAAUUGUUGAAAGGGAAACGCUUGAAGUCAGUCGCGUCGACCGAGACUCAGCCUUGCCUCGGCUUGGUGUACUUCUCGGCUUGACGGGUCAGCAUCGAUUUCAAUCCUCGGAUAAUGGCAAGGGAAAGGUAGCACCUUUUUAGGUGUGUUAUAGUCCUCUGUCGCAUGCGAGGGUCGGGAUCGAGGAACUCAGCACGCACCUCAGGGUGUCGGGGCCUUGGCCCACGUUUACGUGCUUAGGAUGCUGGCGUAAUGGCUUUAAACGACC
rnacentral:rRNA from 1 species